UGAUUGAUGAGAAACCUGCUGUUGGGUUACUUCUCUAUAUGAAGUGAUCCAGUCGUCGUCAUCCAUAUCAGUUUUUGCCUGUUGUGAAUGAGAACCAUAUAGCAAGAAUUGGAAAGAUGAAUAAGAGCAUGUUUUAUAUGGCAUCAUUUGAACAAAGUGGUAAACAAGCGGCAAAAACAUAUAUGUCAAUGUGGAACUGGUGGGGAAAAGUUUCUGGAGACUCAUUCAGAGUUUGCGAAAACAUGCUCUGCUGAACCUUCCCUUUCUUCUGGUACAACUGCAUUGACUGCAAUUAUAUUUGGAAGGUCUUUACUCGUGGCUAAUGCCGGAGACUGUCGUGCUGUUUAAUCCCGGGCUGGAGGGGCUAUAGAAAUGUCCAAAGAUCACGAUCUCUUAUGCAUGAAAGAAAGGACGAGGAUUGAGUCACUCGGCGGAAUUGACAAUGAUGGUUACUUGAAGGAAAUGAGUGAAAGAGGUGGACCAUUGAGUGCUGACCCAGAACUUAAACUGAUGACAUUGACGAAAGACGAAGAGUUUAUGGGAAAGAGACAUGAGCAUGUAUAUCAUGAAGCACAAUGUAGUUAUAUUUGUAGUUUAUUAAACUUUUCUUAGCAGUCAAGAACAUCAAUGUAAAUGGACUCCAUACAAAUAGUCUUCUUUGAUAUUAAUUG